rnacentral:rRNA from 1 species
UACAGGGGGGGCAAGCGUUGUUCGGAAUUACUGGGCGUAAAGGGCUCGUAGGUGGCCAACUAAGUCAGACGUGAAAUCCCUCAGCUUAACUGGGGAACUGCGUCUGAUACUGGAUGGCUUGAGUUUGGGAGAGGGAUGCGGAAUUCCAGGUGUAGCGGUGAAAUGCGUAGAUAUCUGGAGGAACACCGGUGGCGAAGGCGGCAUCCUGGACCGGCAUUGACGCUGAGGCGCGAAAGCCAGGGGAGCAAACGGG